rnacentral:lncRNA from 1 species
AGGAGGAGUUUCAGAUCUGAGACGCUCUCAGGAAACUCAAGAUGGAGGGAGGAAAGAUAUGAAAACAAACAACCCUAGAAGAAGACCCUCUUCUUCUUCUCGUUUCUCUCUCUAGACACCCUAACUUGUGUCUUUUAUAUCUCCAUGACCCAAAGGUCUUUCUCUCUAAUUUUUGGGUGGCUCAAAGGUCUCUCAAAUCU